rnacentral:lncRNA from 13 species
ACUGGACUGGACUGGAGGUGGCCGUCGGGAGUGGGCCCGCUGCCUGCCGCAAGUUUCGCCCGGAGUGGGAAAGUUGGGCGGGACUCGUCCAGAUUCCUGGAAAUCUGAGGAGCAGUCUUUGGCGGACGAAGAAUGUAAUUCUCCCCGGAGGUGUGGGGUAUCUCUUAUGAAGGGGACUGAAGUAGGAUCAGCUGAUAUCCAAAAACCUAAAGACAGGAAGCUAAAGGGUUUCAAUUUCAAGAUGGAUCAAGUGGAGCAUAUUGGAAACCUGUAAACAAGAAGUCUGAUCUCCCCUCUUUCUCCCCUUAAGUCUGCACCAUAGCAACUAUCUACACAGAAGGAUUUAAUGUCUUGUAUGAGGAAAUCUGUAAAGAAGCCAUGUUGUUCUUUUGUUCAUUUCUAUCACAAAGAUAUUUUAUACAAAUAUAUCUGGUGCUGUCCUGGAAAGUUGGGUGUUUCAUUCCUGUGAGGAACUGACUGCAGAUACCAGCUUUGUUAAAAGAUCUUUUUUUCAGUUACAUUUCCUUCCAUGUCAUUGCUGAGCUGAAAAUCUGAUUGCAAAGGAGAUGCGAACCCAUACUGAAAAAAGCAUUCAAGUUUCCUAAUCUGAGCAUUCUUCUCCUCAUGACAAAGAUCUGCAGGUUUUUCACAUUAGUAAAAAAGAAUUAAAGUGGUAGCUUUAGGAAGAGGAGAACAUGAGUGUUUCAGUAGAGGGUUUGAAUAAUUAAAAUUUGGAACUUGACACAUUUUGCCUCAGGCGUUUUGCAGUUGCUGCUUAUGAGAACAGUGUUAUUUUGGAAUAAUUCGAAUCUUCUGUCAGUAUCACUGAUGUAAGACUGGUUUAGCCCUUUCACUGCCAAGUGGACAUACAUUGAGGGCAAGAAGGUAUAAGUGCUUCUCUUAAGACACCGGCAAAAAGCUGCAAGCAUGAAAUAAAGGUAUGGAAAUCAUCUUCCUUGCACUAGCGUUGGCUGGACCCAGGUCUAAGCCUAUCCACCACUAUUCUGUUGUUACACAUGUCAG